GAAGCGAGUAAAAUGUUUCCCCGGCACAUCAGGAGGACCUUUGCCCACCUGACCUGGGAUUUGGCGGGGCACAUCACACCGCUGCAGGCCACUGUAAAUAUCACCUUUCCUGUUAUCUCCAAGACCUGCUUUUCCGGAUCACAGGGAUGC